GGGAGGUUGGAGCUUGAUGGUCCUUGAGGUCCCUUCCAACCCAAGCCAUUCUAUGUUUCUAUGAUCCAGAUGCUUAAAGAUAGCAAAACUUUGUCAUGUUCUUGAAACUGAGUUAACUAUUGCCUCUUGCUGUAGUGAUGGACCUGCUUGUGGUGUCCAAAACCACGCAGCUUCAAGAUUUGCAGGCACCCUGCACCAGAAAACCCUGAACUAAGUGCCAGAUGAUCUGUUCACUGCUCCUUCCCUUAUGCCACAAAGUGUUUUGCAGUUUAUUAAUGCCAUGGAUGUGGAUUUCUACACAAAAGCUGAGAGGGUUGGGGGGAGUGCUGUGGCAGACCUGUGCAUUGGAGCAAGUCUUGCUUGGUUGAAUAGUGAACGUUUACUGGCUGGAUGUGCGCAAGAAUAAACAAAUGAUAGGACCACGCUCCUUCAUGUGCUGAGUGCUAUUUUUUCUUUCUCUCCAUCCAGAUACUUUAACAUUUGUAGCCUGUGUUGGGCCAAAGAAAGCCUGCUGGUCUGACUGCCCACGUGAGUCAGCAGAAGAGCUGCUUAUCUCCCGCAUGGUCCGAGCGUCUGACACUUCCAGGGAAGAGGAAUAGUUGCUCAGACACUGGAAUUUCCUUUGCUGCAGUUGAGAGAACCCGUCAAGAAAAAGAAUUGCAUUGUUGUGUGUGUGUAUUUAAUACCAGGAG